rnacentral:rRNA from 1 species
UAACGAAUCUUGGGCAAUGGGCGCAAGCCUGACCCAGCGACGCCGCGUGGAGGAUCAAGUCCUUCGGGAUGUAAACUCCUGUCAGGGGUUAGGUAAGUUCUGAACAACCCCAGAGGAAGUGGCGGCUAACUCUGUGCCAGCAGCCGCGGUAAGACAGAGGCCACAAGCGUUAGGCGGAAUCACUGGGCUUAAAGCGUGUGUAGGCGGACUUUUAAGUGCCUUGUGAAAUCCCCCGGCUCACCCCGGGGAACGGCUGGGCAUACUGGAAGUCUUGAGCCAUCUAGGGGUCGCUGGAACAGACGGUGGAGCGGUGAAAUGCGUAGAUAUCGUCUGGAACGCCAAAGGUGAAGACAGGCGACUGGGGGAUGCGCUGACGCUGAGACACGAAAGCCAGGGGAGCAAACGGGAUUAGAUACCCCGGUAGUCCUGGCCCUAACGAUGUCCACUAGAUCGUGGAAG